CCCUCAAAACUAAAUCACACCCCUAAUAGUAGCGUAUUUCUUUUUAAUUGUACGUGACACGCGUAUUUUUAUCACAUUAAACACUAAUCAAUACCGUUGUUGUACUUGCUUAUCGCAGGAAGACAUUCCAUUUGCUUUCGGAGGCUUGUUAAUUUCCUGCGCGUUCUCCAACUUGGAAAGUAACGAGAUGGUAGUUGCAAAGUAGACUCAUUUCACAGUAGCAUGAAUCAUCCUAUGUCUUGGGAUUAUUACGAUUGCGUUCUCUCACGAUCUAUAACCUUUGCCGAUUCCUGAGAGCGGCCUUGCCGAGGACCUCGAUACGACUACGAUGGCCUUCGAUUGUCCAGAUUAGCUUAAUAUAUAGCCGUUGAUGCGGCAAGUAAAGCUCACGGUGAAAAGAACGUGGGUAUAUUAAAUUACAUGACAUUGUGACAAAAGACACUGCGAAGCGAUGUUGCGAACGUUGUACGGCAGCGCGAAUCAUAAAUAACGAUAAGAAA